rnacentral:rRNA from 1 species
AUUGAACGCUGGCGGCAUGCCUUACACAUGCAAGUCGAACGGCAGCACGGGGCAACCUGGUGGCGAGUGGCGAACGGGUGAGUAAUGCAUCGGAACGUACCUUUCAGUGGGGGAUAACGCAGCGAAAGUUACGCUAAUACCGCAUAUUCUGUGAGCAGGAAAGCAGGGGAUCGCAAGACCUUGCGCUGAUUGAGCGGCCGAUGUAAGAUUAGCUAGUUGGUGAGGUAAAGGCUCACCAAGGCGACGAUCUGUAGCGGGUCUGAGAGGAUGAUCCGCCACACUGGAACUGAGACACGGUCCAGACUCCUACGGGAGGCAGCAGUGGGGAAUUUUGGACAAUGGGGGCAACCCUGAUCCAGCCAUGCCGCGUGAGUGAAGAAGGCCUUCGGGUUGUAAGGCUCUUUCGGCCGGGAAGAAAUCGCACGGGCUAAUACCCUGUGUGGAUGACGGUACCGGAAUAAGAAGCACCGGCUAACUACGUGCCAGCCGCCGCCGUAACAC